rnacentral:rRNA from 1 species
GUGAACGCUGGCGGUAGGCCUAACACAUGCAAGUCGAACGGCAGCACAGUAAGCGCUUGCUCUUACGGGUGGCGAGUGGCGGACGGGUGAGGAAUACAUCGGAAUCUACUUUUUCGUGGGGGAUAACGUAGGGAAACUUACGCUAAUACCGCAUACGACCUACGGGUGAAAGCAGGGGAUCUUCGGACCUUGCGCGAUUGAAUGAGCCGAUGUCGGAUUAGCUAGUUGGCGGGGUAAAGGCCCACCAAGGCGACGAUCCGUAGCUGGUCUGAGAGGAUGAUCAGCCACACUGGAACUGAGACACGGUCCAGACUCCUACGGGAGGCAGCAGUGGGGAGUAUUGGACAAUGGGCGCAAGCCUGAUCCAGCCAUACCGCGUGGGUGAAGAAGGCCUUCGGGUUGUAAAGCCCUUUUGUUGGGAAAGAAAAGCAGCAGGUUAAUACCCCGCUGUUCUGACGGUACCCAAAGAAUAAGCACCGGCUAACUUCGUG